ensembl:processed_transcript
AAACAAACGAAAUAUCAUAGAUUCUCCAUCUAUGACACCGCUUGACACCAUCGGGGGGGUCCAUCCGCCUCCGUGCUGGGCAGCGGAACCCGAGGCACAGAGGAAUGACGCCAAGCCGGAAAGGCUGCGCGCCAGUGGUCCACCCGGAAGUGCGCCCCCCCCGCAUCAGGUCCCCCAGAGCCCCCAGCGCCGGCCGGCCACGCACCCACCUGUCCUAGUGUGGCUGCAGCCAUGAUCCGGUGUGUGCGGCUGGUGACUGUGCCCGCCUGGGGCGCGGCCUGGUGAAAGGCAUUCGGGCCCCGCCCUGCUCACGCCCCCUCCCGCAGAUGGCUGCUGUGUCGAGCCUCACUUCUGCCAGGCCGUCCUUAGUUCUGGGACCACAGGGACCCAGGCUCUGCUGUGAAGAUCCUGCGCGGGAACGGUCCCGACCUGCCGCACUCUCUCCCUCCUCGCCUCCACCC